UUUUUUUGGGGGGGGAGGGGGAAGUGAAGGGGGAAUAAGAUUUCUCUGUGUAGCCUUGGCUGUUCUGAAACUCACUCUAGGCUGGCCUUAUAGAUAAACUCAGAGCUCUGCCUGCCUUUGCCUCUGUGUGCUGGGAUCAAAGGCCCCAACACACUUGUGUCUACCGCCAUUGUUCACUGAAUGCUUCCUGUGAGUCCAAUCAUUUGUGUGCUUCAAGCCAGUGGACUCUUCACAAACCUCGUGAACAGAAAGGAUUAUCAACCCAGUUCUCAAGGCUUUAAAAGACAGGACACUGAAGCUCAAAUCACACUCUGUGAUCAGGAAGAACAUUUUUUCUUUAUUUUGUGCGCAUGCAUGCCCUGUGGCACAGAGGGCAGUUUUCAGGAGUCACUUCUUGUCCGCAUCCUACUGAGGAAGGGCUCUCUGUCUCUGCCUGGUAUGAUACACUCCAGGCAGUCCGGGCUGAGGGGUAAGUCAGAGCUGUGUUUUUCAGGAGCUCUAAGAACUGCACUCAGGUCACUGAGCUAGGUACCAAGUGCUUUUGUCUAAGAAGCCAUCUCCCUGGCUCUUGAGAACGGGAGUCUUUAGUAUUUUGUUUCGCUUUGCUGUUUUUAAAAUGAUCCCUUCCAGGAUUAUAUUGCAGGCUGAGAACGUAACUGAGCUGGUAAAGUGCUUG
rnacentral:lncRNA from 1 species